GUCGAGCGAACAGAUGAGGAGCUUGCUCCUCUGACGUUAGCGGCGGACGGGUGAGUAACACGUGGAUAACCCACCUAUAAGACUGGGAUAACUACGGGAAACCGGAGCUAAUACCGGAUAAUAUAUUGAACCGCAUGGUUCAAUAGUGAAAGGCGGUUUUGCUGUCACUUAUAGAUGGAUCCGCGCCGCAUUAGCUAGUUGGUAAGGUAACGGCUUACCAAGGCAACGAUGCGUAGCCGACCUGAGAGGGUGAUCGGCCACACUGGAACUGAGACACGGUCCAGACUCCUACGGGAGGCAGCAGUAGGGAAUCUUCCGCAAUGGGCGAAAGCCUGACGGAGCAACGCCGCGUGAGUGAUGAAGGUCUUCGGAUCGUAAAACUCUGUUAUUAGGGAAGAACAAAUGUGUAAGUAACUAUGCACGUCUUGACGGUACCUAAUCAGAAAGUCACGGCUAACUACGUGCCAGCAGCCGCGGUAAUACGUAGGUGGCAAGCGUUAUCCGGAAUUAUUGGGCGUAAAGCGCGCGUAGGCGGUUUUUUAAGUCUGAUGUGAAAGCCCACGGCUCAACCGUGGAGGGUCAUUGGAAACUGGAAAACUUGAGUGCAGAAGAGGAAAGUGGAAUUCCAUGUGUAGCGGUGAAAUGCGCAGAGAUAUGGAGGAACACCAGUGGCGAAG
rnacentral:rRNA from 1 species